UAAAUUAUAAAAGCGCCAGAACUACAAGUAGUGUAGUUGACGAGGUGGAGUUUUAUCGAGAUUUCGGCGGAUGACUCCCGGUUGUUCAUCAUAACCGCAAGCUUUUACUUAAAUCAUUAAGGUGACUUAAUGGACAAAGGUGAAAGUGUGAUGAGAG
rnacentral:ncRNA from 2 species